GACGAACGCUGGCGGCGUGCCUAAUACAUGCAAGUAGAACGCAGUUGCGAACGGGUGAGUAACGCGUAGGUAACUGCCUCAUAGCGGGGGAUCACUAUUGGAAACGCUAGCUAAUACCGCAUACUGUGAGAUGGACCUGCGUUGUAUUAGCUAGUUGGGGAGGUAAAGGCUCACCAAGGCGACGAUACAUAGCCGACCUGAGAGGGGGAACGGCCACAAUGGGACUGAGAACCGGACCAGACCCCGAAGGGAGGACGCAGUAGGGAAUCUUCGGCAAUGGACUGAAGUCUGACCGAGCAACGACGGGUGAGAGAAGAAGGUUUUCGGAUCGUAAAGCUCUGUUGUUAGAGAAGCGGUAACUAACGAGAAAGUGACGGCUAACUACGUGCCAGCAGCCGAGGGAAGUC
rnacentral:rRNA from 1 species